rnacentral:rRNA from 1 species
UACGAAGGGGGCUAGCGUUGUUCGGAAUUACUGGGCGUAAAGCGCGUGUAGGCGGGUCUUUAAGUCGGGGGUGAAAUGCCAAGGCUCAACCUUGGAACUGCCUUUGAUACUGGAGACCUUGAGUCCGGGAGAGGUGAGUGGAAUUGCGAGUGUAGAGGUGAAAUUCGUAGAUAUUCGCAAGAACACCAGUGGCGAAGGCGGCUCACUGGCCCGGAACUGACGCUGAGACGCGAAAGCGUGGGGAGCAAACAGG